rnacentral:rRNA from 1 species
UACGGGGGGAGCAAGCGUUGUUCGGAUUUACUGGGCGUAAAGGGCGCGUAGGCGGCGCAACAAGUCACUUGUGAAAUCUCCGGGCUUAACUCGGAAAGGUCAAGUGAUACUGUUAUGCUAGAGUGCGGAAGGGGCAACUGGAAUUCUCGGUGUAGCGGUGAAAUGCGUAGAUAUCGAGAGGAACACCUGCGGCGAAGGCGGGUUGCUGGGCCGACACUGACGCUGAUGCGCGAAAGCCAGGGGAGCGAACGGG